rnacentral:tRNA from 4 species
UCCGGCAUAGCUCAGUUGGUAGUAGCGCAUGACUGUUAAUCAUGAUGUCGUAGGUUCGAGUCCUGCUGCCGGAG